AGAGGUGCAGUGCGUGCUUUACAUGCACGGGGUCCUGGGUUCAAUUCCCAGCACCUCCA
rnacentral:tRNA from 1 species